GAUGAACGCUGGCGGCGUGCCUAAUACAUGCAAGUCGAGCGAACAGACGAGGAGCUUGCUCCUCUGACGUUAGCGGCGGACGGGUGAGUAACACGUGGAUAACCUACCUAUAAGACUGGGAUAACUUCGGGAAACCGGAGCUAAUACCGGAUAAUAUAUUGAACCGCAUGGUUCAAUAGUGAAAGACGGUUUUGCUGUCACGUAUAGAUGGAUCCGCGCCGCUUUAGCUAGUUGGUAAGGUAAAGGCUUACCAAGGCAACGAUGCGUAGCCGACCUGAGAGGGUGAUCGGCCACACUGGAACUGAGACACGGUCCAGACUCCUACGGGAGGCAGCAGUAGGGAAUCUUCCGCAAUGGGCGAAAGCUUGACGGAGCAACGCGGCGUGAGUGAUGAAGGUCUUCGGAUCGUAAAACUCUGUUAUUAGGGAAGAACAAAUGUGUAAGGAACCAUGCACGUCUUGACGGUACCUAAUCAGAAAGCCACGGCUAACUACGUG
rnacentral:rRNA from 1 species